GCGGUAAUUCCAGCUCUGUAAGCGUAUACCAAAGUUGUUGCAGUUAAAACGCUCGUAGUCGGACGUUGGCGGGCGUCGCAUGUCAGCCGAAAGGUUGAUCUUGAGGCGGCCGCCUUUGUGGAGGGGGGCUUUGUGGUGCUUCAUUGUCAUCGCAGAGUCGCUGCCACCGUUUACUGUGAAAAAAUUAGAGUGUUCAAAGCGGGCGUUUGCCAUGAAUACAUUAGCAUGGAAUAAUAGAAUAGGACCUGGUCCUGUUUUGUUGGUUUGUGAGUAUCAGGUAAUGAUUAAGAGGGACGGUUGGGGGCAUUUGUAUUCCGACGUUAGAGGUGAAAUUCUCGGAUU
rnacentral:rRNA from 1 species